GCAUCUAUAUACAUAUAAUAAAAUCGUAGAAAAGUGCUGUCUGUACAUUGAAAAUAAAAAUAAAAAAAAUAGCAGGGGUUAUUGUUAUGUCGAUGUCGAACCCAAAAAUGUAAUUAACUUUUUUUUGUCUGUUUGUCUGUUUGUCUGUUUGUCUGUUUGUCUGUUUGUCUGUUUGUCUGUUCGUCUGUGCGCGCUAAUCUCAGAAACGGCUGAUCCGAGUUGGAUGCGGUUUUCACGAAUAUAUUGUGGGAUGCUUAAAUUUACAUUUAGUUUCAUGUCAAUCGGUUCAUAAAUAAAAAAGUUAUGUCAAAUUAAAGAAUCACGUCGAACAUUCUAUGCUUAUACCAUUAAUCUCCGCAACUAUUUGACGGAUUUGGUUGAAAUUUGGUACAGAUAUAGUUUAGAACCUUAGAAAGGACAUAGAUAUAUUUUUAUUUCAAAAAUCAAAAAAUAAAAAUAAGAAAUAAAUUAUUUAUAAAUAAUUCUAUGUCGAUCGUUACACGACUUCGGUUCAUGUUAUUGUUUUAAUUCAUCGAAAAAAAGUAAAUAAAUAGUAAAAAGGUAUGAAAAAAAUAAUAUCAAUAUAAUUAAACUUUUAGUACAAAGAAAAUGCCCGAACGGAGUAUAAAUAAAUAAUCCAAGUUGUCUUUAUCCUCGAUAGAUGGCGUUGGGAUCGAAAUAGAUCGCGCUAUGGUUUCGUUACAUUCAUUUGGUUGGGUAUCGGCCGAGCGCUUCGGUACUAUCGUAGAAAAAGUGUAUUAUCAGUCGUAUGAUUAUUUGUCUGUAGUGGUCCUGCUGUUUCGUAUAUUCUAAAUUGGUUUCGUUGUAUUUGUCAAUUAAUAAGUUUAUUUGUUGGGUUUUCCUGGUUUUUUGGUUAAACUAUUUAACGUAGGUUUAGUUUGAUAUCGAUUAUUAGUAGUUACUGUAGUUAGUUUUUUUAAUAAAAUUGUAAGUCUAAUUUGUAAAUUAAUUAGAUUAAAGUCGUUUCUUUUAAAUUAUUUAGUUUAAGCUUGGUUAUUAUAGCAUAGAGGAUAGGUUGUAAUAUAGUUUCUUUUUUAAUUGUUAUAAAUUCGUAAUUCGUAGCUUUCUUUAGUUUUAAGUUAGUUUAAGUCCGUUUUUAAACUAUUUUUUCAAUGCCCUAAGUGAGUAUACAUCUAUUAAAUUCAAACGCAGAGCUCAUUAUGUUGAUUUUUUAAGAGUUCCCUGGAAUAUCUUCCACAUCUCAUUUUUGAAGAGAUCCCGCGAGAUCGGGACCUAUGUGGUUAAAACCAAAAAUUUGCCGGAAGUCACUAUUCCACGCGAACGAAGUCGCGGGCAAAAGCUAUAUUAUAAUAAAUCUGUAGAAGGGUCAAUUCUGUACAUUGAAAAUAUUGAAAGAAUAAAUAGCAGGGGUUGUUACUGGAUCGAUACCAAACCCAAAUAUGUGAUUAAACAUUUUUUGUCUGUCUGUCUGUCUGUCUUUCUGUCUGUCUGUAUGUUCAGGCAUCACGUGAAAACUAACGGUUCGAUUUUGAUGAAACUUGGUAUAAUUAUACCUUAUAAGCCUGGGCAUAAAAUAGGUUACUUUUUAUCCUAUUUACGUAAUUACCUAGAAAAAAUAAUAUUUUUCAGUUUUAUUUCUACAGAACGCGAGCUCAACAGCAGUAGCUCAAAAGAGGGAUCUCCUUAAUUACUAUGGGCCUUGCCGUAUUUGGGUCCAAUAGAUAUUUAUAAGAUGUCAUUGUCAGAGUUACUCAAAAUGGAGAAAUAAAACUUCCACGCGAAGCCCGACAUCCGCGCGGACGGAGUCGCGGGCGGAAGCUAGUUCAAAAUAUAAU